rnacentral:lncRNA from 1 species
UUUGGGAUGGCAGUUGACCAUGGGUAACUGAAACCAUUGAAAAUGAAACUAAGGGUACAGGGGUAGUGGUGGGGGGUGGUUACUGUAAUGUGUAAUUCACAGACGGUGAAACCUGACUGGCGAAUAAACAUUGUUUUGCAGCUAGAUGGUGUUCGAGGCCUUGGAACAUGAUGGGGAAAACAACAGGGAGGAGUUAUAUCUCCUUUGGUGUUAUCCUUUGGUGUGUCUUGGAGGGAAGAGAAUCCAGAAAGGAAUACUUCCCAUUCAAGCCAGGCAUCCUCUUUAACAACUGCUGGACCUCACAACUUAAGGCCCAUUUUCAAGGUAGAAAGAAUGAAGCUCUCUGAAGGCAUGGAUCUUGUCUGUUUUGCUUCCCACUGUGUCAUCAGACCCAGAAUAGUGCCGGACGCACUAAGUGUAGACAUCCAUAAACGAUGAGUAAUCUGUAGCUAACAAACAGGGGUAUAGUGCAUGCAAUGUGGUUUGAGAACAUUUUGUCUUUUUUUUUUUUUUCCUAAGGACACUGGUAUAAUGACUAAAUUCUGAAGAAUGGACACUAGUUCACCUUGUACACUUCUGUUUUCUUAGAAGAGAUUUUGAAACAGCUGUUAAAACCCAUCUGAAGCUGCAGUGUUCUAAUGGUUGGAGUGAGUUCCACAAAUUCUCCCUAGAAUCCUUCUGUCUUUAUUUGGGCUGCUAUAACAGAAUCCUAUAGACUAUGUGGCUUAAACAUCAAACAUUUAUUUCUCACACUUCUGGAGGUUGGAAAGUCCAAGAUCAGAGUGUCUGCAGAUAUAUGGUCUAGUGAGAGCUUGCUUCCUGGUUCAUAAAUGGCUUUUUGCUGUGUCUUCACAUGGUGGGGGCGGGGUUGAGGAAGCUCUUUGGGGCCAUUUUGAGACAUUCUAUAAUCAGAAUUGGCUUCUACCUUGCACAUGACUUCUGUGGCAAAAAUUCUGUCACCUAACCCUCUUUACCCUUGAGGAUAAUACACCUCCCCAUGAUUUCUGAUAUUGGAGUAAAAAAACCAUCUGGUGUCAAGUGAUAUGAAUACAUACUCCUGGACCUUUGAUUUAUAGCCUUGAAUGUGCACAGAACAUGCUUGUGCACAAAUGUAUACAUGCAUGUGUGUGUGAAUGAAAGAAGUGGGGGUUGCGUUUUGCAGAAUUUGAACCUGUAAUUUUUUCUGCACUGGGCAUUUCCAGCAUUGGUUGAUGCAGGUGGUGAGAAUAUCUUUGCAUCCAUAAUAGCCUUGACUGCUGAGAAUGUUAACAGUGAGUUUCAUGAACUAUGUUUUUUUCUUGGGACUAUUAAAUGUGUCAAGUUUGGUGUAGUUAAGAGGCACUCAUAGUAACUUAUUUUUAAGAUGUCUAGAUAUAAGAUGCCUCCAUAGGAGUAUGUCAUAUAAAAAUUUCCCCAAGUUCCGAUGUUGACAGAUGGUGCAGUUCUGCAAUAUAAGCAGUGAUGUCCUCAUGAGACUAUUGAUUUUGUUUGUGAAAUAUAAAUCCCUAAACAGUGACUGAUGGGCUGGUGAGAAGUGCUUCUUUAAUAAUUCAGUAAUUUCAUUAAAUGAUCUGGUCCUCAGUGAAACAGAAGUGGUGAAGGACCUGGCUGUGGAGUGCACUUAAGUCUUGAUAAAAACAUGACCAUGGUCUCCUUUGUUCAUGUUUCUCUUUGUUCAUGUUUCUCUGUGUCUUCAAGAUAAAGUGAAAUCUUUCAGUAUAUGAAUUCCAAGAAGUAGAGCAAAUGACAUCAAAUUCUUCAGUGUGUCUCACAGCAGCCAUUUUAAGCUCAGUCUGCCCAGAUUCAAGACAAUGGCUUGGUUCCUUUGCUUAUAGGUAGGCUUGGGCAUUGAUUUCUUUUGCCUCUGCUAUUUACCUUUCUUUUUAAAUUUAUUAUUAUUAUGAUGUUAAGUUAGUC